rnacentral:rRNA from 1 species
UACGGAGGAUGCGAGCGUUAUCCGGAUUUAUUGGGUUUAAAGGGUGCGCAGGCGGAAUGUCAAGUCAGCGGUAAAAGCCCGGGGCUCAACCCCGGCGAGCCGUUGAAACUGUCGGACUAGAGACGGCGAGAAGUACGCGGAAUGCGCGGUGUAGCGGUGAAAUGCUUAGAUAUCGCGCAGAACCCCGAUUGCGAAGGCAGCGUACCGGCUCUACACUGACGCUGAGGCACGAAAGCGUGGGUAGCGAACAGG